UCCCUGGUGGCUCAGACAGUAAAGCAUCUGCCUGCAAUGCGGGAGACCCAGGUUCAACCCCUGGGUGAGGAA
rnacentral:tRNA from 1 species